GCUACGGGAUAACAGAGAGAAAUUUCUGCUAAUACCGUAUGUGGCCUUUGGGCGAAAGAUUUAUCGGCUUAAGAUGAGCCCGCGUUGGAUUAGCUUGUUGGUAGGGUAAUGGCCUACCAAGGCGACGAUCCAUAGCUGGUCUGAGAGGAUGAUCAGCCACACUGGGACUGAGACACGGCCCAGACUCCUACGGGAGGCAGCAGUGGGGAAUAUUGGACAAUGGGCGCAAGCCUGAUCCAGCCAUGCCGCGUGAGUGAUGAAGGCCUUAGGGUUGUAAAGCUCUUUCACCGGUGAAGAUAAUGACGGUAACCGGAGAAGAAGCCCCGGCUAACUUCGUGCCAGCAGCCGCGGUAAUACGAAGGGGGCUAGCGUUGUUCGGAUUUACUGGGCGUAAAGCGCGCGUAGGCGGAUAGAUAAGUCAGAGGUGAAAUCCCGGGGCUCAACCCCGGAAUUGCCUUUGAUACUGUUUAUCUUGAGUGCAGAAGANGUAAGUGGAAUUCCGAGUGUANAGGUGAAAUUCGUANAUAUUCGNAGGAACACCAGUGGCGAAGG
rnacentral:rRNA from 2 species